UCGGGGACUGGGCGGGGCGGGCACGCGCCAGCAGGCAGGGCCGUGCCGGGAUGGGCUCGCGGCUGUUGCGAGGUUCACGCCCGCCCAGCGUGCGCGUGCACGUGCACGUGGAGACCUGGGCGAAGAGGCGGGGCUCUCGAACGAGAGCGCCAGACGGGGGCGGAGUUGCGGUUUUGACGUACCCCGAGGGGCGGGGAUGGAGAGCUGGCACCGGGGAGCUUGGAAGGACUGUCUAUUUCACUCUCCAAGGGCUGGACACAGAGCACACAUUUGAUGGUCCCAUCUCAAAGGCUGGGCAAGUUGGGCAUGUGAAAAGAACAUGUUGGUUUAUGGAAUACAAAAUUUCGAGGAGUAAAGUCUAUCAGAAAGGAGUUACAGAAGAAAAAUAACACUGCUGGUGGCUCGGUGCAGGCAAUGGAAGCCAGCUGUGGCUGGUUCAGCAGAGGAGUUUGUUCAAAGAGAGGCACGAGGGCUGGAGUAAAGACCUGAGGGACAGAGCUUCCGGAGGCGAUGCCCUAGACCUGCUGCAGGACUGAUCUGGUUAGAAACUGCGCUGCCUCCCCGGCUCAGGCUCCCGUUGUCACGGGUGACACUCCUGGCACUUCUGCGCCAUGAAUUCCAUCUCGUGGCCCCUGCCACUUCCAAACAUCAGGUGCCUUUGCUUUGAACCUACCAGCAGCUGUGAUCCCACAGGAGCUCCCCUCUCAGGUUGCUCUCCUUGGAAAUGAAAUCUGCUGAGGGUGCUGCUGACUGGUGACGCUGGGCCACAUGCCUGCCCCCACCCACUGGGAAAGUGAGGCCCUGAUUGCUCCUGGGGAGGUGUGGCUCCCAAGGUGGGACAUUCCAUAAACAGAAGAGGAAUGUGUAAGAGGUACUGGGAAGCCAGAAAACAUG
rnacentral:lncRNA from 1 species